UACGUAGGGGGCAAGCGUUGUCCGGAUUUAUUGGGCGUAAAGAGCGUGUAGGCGGCCAUACAGGUCAGCUGUGAAAACUCGAGGCUCAACCUCGAGACGUCGGUUGAAACCGUAUGGCUAGAGUCCGGAAGAGGAGAGUGGAAUUCCCGGUGUAGCGGUGAAAUGCGCAGAUAUCAGGAGGAACACCGGUGGCGAAGGCGGGUCUCUGGGCAGUAACUGACGCUGAGGAGCGAAAGCGUGGGGAGCGAACAGG
rnacentral:rRNA from 1 species